GGCGGCAUGCCUUACACAUGCAAGUCGAACGGUAACAGGUCUUCGGAUGCUGACGAGUGGCGAACGGGUGAGUAAUACAUCGGAACGUGCCCAGUCGUGGGGGAUAACGCAGCGAAAGCUGUGCUAAUACCGCAUACGAUCUACGGAUGAAAGCGGGGGAUCGCAAGACCUCGCGCGAUUGGAGCGGCCGAUGGCAGAUUAGGUAGUUGGUGAGGUAAAGGCUCACCAAGUCUGCGAUCUGUAGCUGGUCUGAGAGGACGACCAGCCACACUGGAACUGAGACACGGUCCAGACUCCUACGGGAGGCAGCAGUGGGGAAUUUUGGACAAUGGGCGCAAGCCUGAUCCAGCAAUGCCGCGUGCAGGAUGAAGGCCUUCGGGUUGUAAACUGCUUUUGUACGGAACGAAAAGGCUUCUUCUAAUAAAGGAGGCUCAUGACGGUACCGUAAGAAUAAGCACCGGCUAACUACGUGCCAGCAGCCGCGGUAAUACGUAGGGUGCGAGCGUUAAUCGGAAUUACUGGGCGUAAAGCGUGCGCAGGCGGUGAUGUAAGACAGUUGUGAAAUCCCCGGGCUUAACCUGGGAACUGCAUCUGUGACUGCAUCGCUGGAGUGCGGCAGAGGGGGAUGGAAUUCCGCGUGUAGCAGUGAAAUGCGUAGAUAUGCGGAGGAACACCGAUGGCGAAGGCAAUCCCCUGGGCCUGCACUGACGCUCAUGCACGAAAGCGUGGGGAGCAAACAGGAUUAGAUACCCUGGUAGUCCACGCCCUAAACGAUGUCAACUGGUUGUUGGGAAUUCACUUUCUCAGUAACGAAGCUAACG
rnacentral:rRNA from 1 species